CAUGAACAUCAUGUAGUAUUACAUCAUCAUGAAAUCAUAAAUUAUUGGUGUUUUGUGACAUCAUUAUGAUUGAUAUUGAGAUAGUUCUGUUAAGAAAUCAAAUAAACUAUAUGUUAUCCUACAAUGCUAACACUUGCUAUCUAUUGGCAGCAAUAAUAUCUAAAAUUUUAAUAAAAAUGAAAUUCUGUCCUGCAGGAUUAUUUACUCUUAUAGGAUUGAAGGAUGUGGCAUCGAGGUUCCUUUUAAUGGUAGAUUACAAGGUUGCAGAAUUGGAAUUGGGGAGACAGAAUCAGACCAUAAAACUUUUAGGGUGUCAGAGUUGAAUUUUUUUAAAAGGUGAAGUCGGAAUCAGAUCAUUUGCCAUCCAAUUCUGCAACCCUAAUAGAUCAUCAUUACCAAAUUUUGUUAAAAUCUGAUAAUUAGUUCAAAUAUUGUUAAUGGGGACACAUAGACAGAUAUUGUUCCAAUCUUAUAAGCUUCUGUUUCCUUCAGAAAGUAGACUAUAAAGAUAUGAUCUUUAAAUUUUAUCACUAGUUUCAACUUAACCAUAAAAAGUACAUUGCCAAAUAUAAUCAUAAUCAAGUCCAUAAUACAUAUACAAACUGCUUUAUAAUUACUCAGUAACAACCAGUGGAUAGCAAGCACUUCUAAGCAGGAGUAAACACAUAAAAUGUUUUAUUAAACCACGAACAUUUUCGAUGCUAAUACAUCAUCUUCAGGUGUAUACAACGAAAAGGAACAGAAUUACAAAAAAGAAAAAAUAG
rnacentral:lncRNA from 1 species